rnacentral:rRNA from 1 species
UACGUAGGGUGCAAGAGUUGUACGGAUUUAUUGGGUUUAAAGGGUGCGUAGGCGGCCCGUUAAGUCAGUGGUGAAAUACAGCAGCUCAACUGUUGAUGUGCCAAUGAUACUGGCGGGCUAGAGUACAGACGAGGUAGGCGGAAUUGACAGUGUAGCGGUGAAAUGCAUAGAUAUUGUCAAGAACACCGAUAGCGCAGGCAGCUUGCUAGCCUGUAGCUGACGAUGAGGCUCGAAAGUGUGGUGAUCAAACAGG